AAAUAAUAUAAGCUUACCAAAUAUUAAUCAAAUAGCAAUCUAUGCCUAUGUAUAAAAGAUUUUGAGAAAAAUAAACACACUGGAGUAAAAAACUUAUGAAAAGUGUAAGGGAUCAUUUAGGAAAACCAAGACUAAUAGAAAUAAAAAAUAAAUUAGAGUUCAAUUUUAAUAUAUAUACUUGAUUUGGUUUUUGUAAUAUGCACAGCAAGCAUGUGAGCUCCCCAG
rnacentral:lncRNA from 1 species